rnacentral:tRNA from 1 species
GGAGGUGGAUGAGUCCCGGUGGGCUCCCCGGUCCUCAAAACCGGUGGCGCGCCGCUGCGAGCGGGGCGCGGUGGGUUCGACUCCCACGCACUUCC